UACAGAGGUCCCGAGCGUUGUUCGGAUUCACUGGGCGUAAAGGGUGCGUAGGUGGCCUGAAAAGUUUGAUGUGAAAGCUCAGGGCUUAACCCUGAAAUGGCAUUGAAUACUGUCGGGCUGGAGGUUUGGAGGGGGGACUGGAAUUCUUGGUGUAGCGGUGAAAUGCGUAGAUAUCAAGAGGAACACCUGCGGCGAAGGCGGGUUGCUGGGCCGACACUGACGCUGAGGCGCGAAAGCUAGGGGAGCAAACGGG
rnacentral:rRNA from 1 species